AUAUCAAUAAGCGGAGGAAAAGAAACCAAAAGGGAUACCCUAAGUAACGGCGAGCGAAAGGGGUAGAGCUCAGCGCUAAGUCCUGUCGUCAUUGGGCGUACAGGAGGUGCAGCGUGGAAACAGCAGUGCAUCGUACUAGGUGAUGUGUCGCAAGUUCCUCUGACAAGGACUCUUCCAUAGCGGGUGCUAGGCCCAUAGCGACAUACUCACCAUGUGCGCAAACUGUUGCUUACUAGAGUCAGGUUGCUUGAGAGCGCAG
rnacentral:rRNA from 1 species